GCGGAAGUGGUGGAAUUGGUAGACGCGCUAGGUUCAGGACCUAGUGCCCGCAAGGGUGUGGGGGUUCGAGUCCCCCCUUCCGCA
rnacentral:tRNA from 1 species